CCAGACUCCUACGGGAGGCAGCAGUGGGGAAUAUUGCACAAUGGGGGAAACCCUGAUGCAGCAACGCCGCGUGAAGGAAGACGGUUUUCGGAUUGUAAACUUCUGUUCUUAGUGAAGAAGAAUGACGGUAGCUAAGGAGCAAGCCACGGCUAACUACGUGCCAGCAGCCGCGGUAAUACGUAGGUGGCAAGCGUUGUCCGGAAUUACUGGGUGUAAAGGGAGCGUAGGCGGUAAGGCAAGUCUGAUGUGAAAGGCCAGGGCUCAACCCUGGGACUGCAUUGGAAACUGUUUAACUGGAGUGUCGGAGAGGCAAGUGGAAUUCCUAGUGUAGCGGUGAAAUGCGUAGAUAUUAGGAAGAACACCAGUGGCGAAGGCGGCUUGCUGGACAGUAACUGACGUUGAGGCUCGAAAGCGUGGGGAGCAAACAGGAUUAGAUACCCCAGUAC
rnacentral:rRNA from 1 species